rnacentral:rRNA from 1 species
CGCGUAGGCGGUUUGGUAAGCUGGAUGUGAAAUCCCCGGGCUCAACCUGGGAACUGCCUUCAGAACUGCCAGGCUAGAGUACAGUAGAGGAUAGUGGAAUUUCCGGUGUAGCGGUGAAAUGCGUAGAGAUCGGAAGGAACAUCAGUGGCGAAGGCGGCUAUCUGGACUGAUACUGACGCUGAGGUGCGAAAGCGUGGGGAGCAAACA